rnacentral:rRNA from 1 species
GUGGGGAAUCUUGCGCAAUGGGCGAAAGCCUGACGCAGCCAUGCCGCGUGAAUGAUGAAGGUCUUAGGAUUGUAAAAUUCUUUCACCGGGGACGAUAAUGACGGUACCCGGAGAAGAAGCUCCGGCUAACUUCGUGCCAGCAGCCGCGGUAAUACGAAGGGGGCUAGCGUUGCUCGGAAUUACUGAGCGUAAAGGGCGCGUAGGCGGACAGCUUAGUCAGAGGUGAAAGCCCAGGGCUCAACCUUGGAAUUGCCUUUGAUACUGGCUGUCUUGAGUUUGGGAGAGGUGAGUGGAACUCCGAGUGUAGAGGUGAAAUUCGUAGAUAUUCGGAAGAACACCAGUGGCGAAGGCGACUCACUGGCCCAAUACUGACGCUGAGGCGCGAAAGCGUGGGGAGCAAACAGGAUUAGAUACCCUGGUAGUCC